ACAGAUUUAUAAUUGGCAAGGACACGGGAAAUCACUCUGGUUGAUGCACGGAAUGUUCAGAGCCAAUGGUGGGUGUGCUUAUGUAAAGAAACUAGAUUUCCUGUCGGAGUCUAGUCCACGUGACCCUAGAAUUGAGUUGCCUGUGAAGAUAAUUUUGAAGGUCAAAGUAUAUUUGGGGGAAGGAUGGAAAAAGAUUUCCAAGACGUUCCUUUUGAUUGUUUUCCUCGCCAGAUUUUUAUGUUAGGGUGGGGAUUGCCGGAGUACCUGCAGAUACUAUAAUGAAGAAAGAAUACAAAGACAGAGAAAAAUAAUUGGACACUUAUUUGAAAUGAGGAAUUCAAGUUUUUAUUAACUGUUCCAGAACUAGCUCUGCUUCGUAUUGAAGUUAACGAAAAUGACAUGUCUGAAAGGGAUGACU